rnacentral:lncRNA from 1 species
GAGAGCCACUCUAGUUAAUUGCUUGCCACACCUCCACACAUCACAAUUACAACUUCUCAUAGCUAGUUCUCUUCCCUCUGUUCUUCUCUAUCUCUACACUCAAAAAGCAAGAUGAAGCAAGGAUUUGCAGCUUUGCUACUUGUGUGCCUUGUCCUCAGUUCCUCUGUGUUUGAAGUGUCAAUGGCUGCUUCUGGUAUGCCAUCAAGCCUUAAUUAGAACUAGUAUUAUAGUUUGUCUUCAUUUUUAUUCCUUCAUAAUCACUUUUUCUUUUAAAUAAGCUACUUCUAACAUGUUUAUGAUUGGAGCAGCUUUUUUGUCUCAUAAUAUUUUUUAUAUCUAGAAUUAACUCAUACAAAUUUCUGCCCAGAAUUGAUUUUUUUGUUUUUUUUUUUUGAAGGAUUUUUAAACAUACUUUUCUUGCUGCUUCUUAAAACGUGAAAAUCUACCAUAUAUUUAAAUUGUGUUUUUUUAAGAUUAUUAAAAGAUGAUACUUAACUAUUUAAAAAAGAUUAUUUUUAGAGGUUUUAUGAAAAUGAUAUAUGUUUGAUUAUCUUAAAAUAUCAAAAUAGACUUUUAUAUAAGUUACUUUUAGAUUUUUUUUAAUUAUUGAUUUUUUUAAGCUGAGACAAAGAAAAACAUAUUCUUUAAUAAAAAUAAGUGAUUUUUCAAAGGAAAAAAAUAACAAACACAGUCUAAAUGAUGUUUGAAUCCUACACUUUUUGCUAAAAAAUAUUUUGACACCUUAAAAGCUACUUACUUUUUCUCAUAAUUGAUUUUGAUUGAUUUAAUUUCCAAACAUGCAUUUAAAAGUUGUCAUUUUUAUGAUUGUUUCAAUCAAUAUUGUUACCACUUAUUGUGUUUCUAUAUGUUAUUUAAUUUUCUUUUUGUAAAUAUUUGAUUUGGCAUUAACUGAUGGUAUGUACUAGGUGUGGUUAAGGAAUCAGGUUUCUGUGGCUCCAAGUGUGCACAGAGGUGCUCUAAAGCUGGGAUGCAGGACAGAUGCAUUAGGUUCUGUGGGAUCUGCUGCGGCAAGUGCAAGUGUGUGCCAUCUGGGACUUAUGGGAACAAGCAUGAAUGCCCUUGCUACAGGGACAUGAAGAACUCCAAGGGCAAGCCCAAGUGCCCUUAAUUAAUUCUUCUCCAUGCCUUCAAACUUUAAAAAGCCUUUGAUUCCCCUGUUAUUGCCCUGCAUGUAUCUCCACCUUAUGAUUAAGCUUUCCUUUGUUAUUAUAUAUGUUUAUGUAUUAUAUAUAGAGAGUGGGGAAAAAGUUGUCAUAGUAGUAGAGGGUAUAUCAUGUGAAUGAGAAUAAAUUGGGUUCAUCUGUGCCCUUAAUUAUGAUGUAUCUGGACUAAUCAUGAUUAAUGAUUUGCUAAUAAAAGUAUGAUACUUUGUCUCUCAUGGUGGUUUUGUUUGUGAACUAUGAAUUUAAUUUACCUCUUAAUUUGAAAUGAAUAAG